AUGGAUCGGUGGGCGGCGCCGGCGUCCUACUGGUGCUACAGCUGCGAGCGGUUCGUGCGCACGGCGGGGGACGCCGGGCUGGUCUGCCCCGGCUGCGACGGCGGCUUCCUGGAGCAGAUGGACGCGCCGCCGCCGCGCAGGGCCGCCGCGCCCUCCGCCUUCCUCCGCCGCCGCGCCGCCGAGGCGCCCACCGAGGUCCGGCCCCGCCGCGGCAGGCGUGGCGGCGCCGCCUCGGGGGACCGCUCCGGCUCGCCGUACAACCCGGUCAUCGUGCUCCGGCGCUCCGCGGCCCCGCCCGGCGACGAGGCCCCCGGCGCCACCAGCAGCUUCGAGCUCUUCUACGACGACGGCGCCGGAUCCGGCCUCCGCCCGCUGCCCGAGAGCAUGUCCGACUUCCUCAUGGGGUCCGGGUUCGAGCGCCUCCUCGAGCAGCUCGCCCAGAUCGAGGCCGGCGGCUUCGGCGCCGUCCGCCCCUGCGACAACCCGCCGGCCUCCAAGGCCGCCGUCGAGUCCAUGCCCACCGUCGUCGUCGCCGCCUGCCACGUCGGCGCCGACUCCCACUGCGCCGUCUGCAAGGAGGCCUUCCAGCUGGGCGACGAGGCCAGGGAGAUGCCCUGCAGCCACAUGUACCACCAGGACUGCAUCCUGCCGUGGCUCGCGCUGCGCAACUCGUGCCCCGUGUGCCGGCACGAGCUGCCCACGGAUGUGGCGCGGCCUGCUCCGGCCAGCGACCUGGGCGCCGCUGACGACCAGGGCAGCAACACCGGGGCUGAGGCUGGCAGCGAGGAGGAGACGACGGUGGGGUUGACGAUUUGGCGGCUCCCUGGAGGAGGCUUUGCCGUCGGGAGGUUCACUGGUGGCCGGAGGGCCGGCGAGAGGGAGCUCCCAGUUGUCUACACCGAGGUGGACGGCGGUUUCAACAAUGGCGGUGCACCGAGGAGGAUCUCAUGGUCAUCAAGAGGGAGCCGUUCGUCGCAGAGGGGAGUUAUUAGACGCAUGUUCGACAACAUGUUUGCUUGCUUUGGGCACACCCAUUCGACCAAUGUGACUCGAGCCUCAUCCUCGAGGUCAGAGUGGAGCUCGGUUUUCACCCGUGGUCUGAGGAGCCGCAGCACAAGCUGGAGAUCCCAAGAUAGCCACGCCGAUGCGAUCGCCAGGUGA
rnacentral:rRNA from 1 species